rnacentral:rRNA from 1 species
UCUUUGAACGCAAGUUGCGCCCGAGGCCAUCAGGCUAAGGGCACGCCUGCCUGGGUGUCACUAAUCGUUGCCCCAACCAACCCCAGCGCCUCCGGGCGCGAGAGGGGAGGGGCGAAUGAUGGCCUCCCGCGAGCGAGCGCGUCGCGGUUGGCCGAAAAUCGGGCCCGUGGCGGAGCGURGCGCCACGACAGACGGUGGUUGAGUGCAAUCUCGAGGCCGGUCGUGCGCGCGCGUCCCUCCGCCGGUUACGGACCCUGCGGCCCGUGAGCGGCGCUGAUCGCCCUUUGAUGCGACCUCAGGUCAGGCGG